CACGUAGGGGGCAAGCGUUGUCCGGAUUUAUUGGGCGUAAAGCGCUCGCAGGUGGUUCGUUGCGUCGUGCGUGAAAGACCCCGGCUCAACUGGGGAGGGUCGUGCGAUACGGGCGGACUGGAGGCCAGUAGGGGGAUGCGGAAUUCCGGGUGUAGUGGUGGAAUGCGUAGAGAUCCGGAGGAACACCAGCGGCGAAGGCGGCAUCCUGGACUGGUCCUGACACUCAGGAGCGAAAGCGUGGGGAGCGAUCCGG
rnacentral:rRNA from 1 species